AGCGGGGUAGGCCAGCCAGGUAGGCCGCGGGGCUCAUAACCCCGAGGUCCCCGGUUCAGGGGAGAACCCGCCGAAAAAUCCGGGCCCCGCUACCA
rnacentral:tRNA from 2 species